rnacentral:tRNA from 1 species
UUGAGAGUAGCUUAAUUUAAAAAGUUUGGGAUUCUUACUCCUGUGAUGUUAUUUUAUAUAACCUCUCAAG